UGCACAAUGGGCGAAAGCCUGAUGCAGCGACGCCGCGUGAGGGAUGACGGCCUUCGGGUUGUAAACCUCUUUCAGUAGGGAAGAAGCGAAAGUGACGGUACCUGCAGAAGAAGCGCCGGCUAACUACGUGCCAGCAGCCGCGGUAAUACGUAGGGCGCAAGCGUUAUCCGGAAUUAUUGGGCGUAAAGAGCUCGUAGGCGGUUUGUCGCGUCUGCCGUGAAAGUCCGGGGCUCAACUCCGGAUCUGCGGUGGGUACGGGCAGACUAGAGUGAUGUAGGGGAGACUGGAAUUCCUGGUGUAGCGGUGAAAUGCGCAGAUAUCAGGAGGAACACCGAUGGCGAAGGC
rnacentral:rRNA from 1 species